UGCUAUGCAGCCAGAGGGGAUAUAUUAUUGUAUUAAGUUUAACUUUGACUUAAAUAAUGCCUGGACCUACACACAUUUUAUACGGAACUUAAUUUAAGGGAUUUUCUCUGUUUUACCAUUUUGUCUUGUGAUAUGAACGUUACACACGCGUGUCAUCGCUGACGUCAGACCUACGCAGUACGGUAGUUACAUCACGUUGCCGGCUCGCCUCUUCCUCCACACUACGUGCGAUCUGAAGCUCUGAAGACUGCCAAACAUUUUUAGGGACAAUUUGUUUUCAGGCGAAACAUUUGACGACACAUCCCGUUAACAGUCAAGAUGUCUGAUUAUGAAGAGAAUGAAUCCAAGUUCAUGCGAAAGGCAAAGGAGAAUCCAUUUGUCCCAGUGGAAUGGCUUGAUUCUUUGCCAUUGGGGUCUUGUUGAGACUGAUCGAUAAUGAAACAAAUUAUUCGUGCAUCAAAAAUGUCAGUUUCACUCUGUCACAUUGGCGUGUUAGGUGCCCAAGGCUUUGUGGUUGGUGCCAAUAACCGUUGGGGUUCUGUAUUCAAUGUACAAAGAUUACAUUGUGAAACCCAGGAGAAGAACGGAAAAGCCUUGAAAGACAAGCUGACAUGACCUCUAAGAUGGACAUUUAUUAUCCUUUAAAUAUUACCUCAUGUUAAGGGUGUUGAAGGUUUAUUUUUACAGAGUGUGAUAUAUUUUGUAUGCACACAUCCCGUUUGCAGCUCAUUUCUACUGUAAAUUGGUCUUCCCAAUUGAGUACCUCUAAUUGGCCUUCCUCUAAUGCUCCGUUUCAGCUGAACUCAACUUCACUUUGUUCUUUACUCCCCAAUUUCAAAUUGUACCGCUGAAAGAAUCGCACUCAUGCAGGUUGGAUACUCCGCUGAUCAGGCAUGCAGGGAAUUGUGUGAUCUGCUGUCAGAUUCUCAAUCAACAAUGAUUUCGGGAUCUUUUCUUUUUUCCCCCAAAAUAGAGAACGUUUUGCACUUUUGUAAAAUGUCUUAGUGUACGACUUUGGUAUAAGUGUUCAGUCCAAUUGUUUGGGGGGGUUUUGAAGGUGAAUUAAUAAAAGCGGUAUUUAAUUGAA